AGAGGGUGGGAUUGGACCUGAGAGUGCAGCCCAUCAGACCAGGAAACAUCUGGAUCAGAAACAAUGUUAAGAUCCAGAUGCAGAACCUGUCCAGCACCAUGUCUGCCUGAGUGCCACCAUGCUUCUCGCCAUGAUGAGAAUGGACUAAGCCUCUGAACUAAUGUUCUUCCAUCUCUGCUUAACUUGACCACAUGAGUCAGACUCCUCCAGACCUGAGGACAGGCAUGGACAAGACUAAGGUCCCUGAGCUGCAAUACUGAACCCCAUCUUGAGAAGAGGAACUUUACCACAACAGUUCCCUCUGCGACGUGUUUCUGUAGACAGCAAGCUGUCUCCUGAAGUAACUCCUGCUAAUAUAGAACUUCUGUUCUUUGGUUUUCAAUUUC
ensembl:lincRNA 1700064J06Rik RIKEN cDNA 1700064J06 gene